rnacentral:lncRNA from 1 species
AAAAGAAAGCUUCCAAUCUCAUUUUAUCUCCAUUACUUUCUACACCAAAAUUGGGUCCCACAACCCGGUUCUUUGUCUAGAGGAUAGCAGUUGAGUACUAGUGGUGGUCUCGGGUAGAAUUGGUAAGAAGACAUCAAACCUUUUGAAAGCUUCAAAGGUAAUACUUCUUAAAACCCUAAUUUGAUUAGUUUAUGGUUACAUGUUAAUUGUGGCAAUUAGGGUAGAAAUUCGAUUCUUUUUCCGCUGUGCAUGACUUAGUUCUAUCAUGUGGUAUCAGAGCAUGCUUCAUUUUUACCCAAUUGCAUGUGGUGGGUUCAUAUUUAUUAGAUAAAUUUUGGUUUGAACUAAAAUGGAUAUAUUAUGAUUUUGGCUCUAGAUUAAGUGUUUUUGUUCUAAUUAUUGUAAUUAGCCUUGUUAAUGGCUUAUUUUUAUUGUUGCAAAGUGUUUGUAAUUUUUUUAAAAAAUAAAAAAAAGUCAUUAGAGUUGAAGCUAGGCUGUAAUUGGUUCAACCGGGUGAGAGAAUUGAAAAAAAUGAAGAAAAGAAGGUCACAGACCCGAAAACCCGGUUUUGACCCGCUUCGCGACCCGCACGCGCCCGCAUGCCCGCGCGCCCUUUGCGCCGCGCGCCCUCCUGCGUCCGCACGCGCCGCGCGCCCGCGCGCCCUCCUGCGCCGCGCGCCCUCCUGCGCCGCGCGCCCUCCUGCGCCGCGCGCCCGCAUGUGUCCGCGCGCCCGCAUGCGCCCGCACGCCCGCCUUCGCCCGCGCGCCUGCCUUCGCACGACCCGUGUGCGCCUGGGCCGGUUCAAGCCAAUAAAUUUGGUUUUUGGGCCGGUUCAAGCGGUUCGGUUGGUUUUUUAGUCGGUUCGAAAUUUUUGGGAGUGGUUCUGUACUACACCAAAUUAAUUAUGUAAUAAUUUAGCACUUAGCUUAAUUUAGGAGCCAAAAAUCAGUCCAUUUUAGGGUGUUUUUUUUAUUUAUGCAUGUGAUGUAUGAUUAAAUUACUUUAAAUUUGUAUGUGCAUUUUGAAUGUCAUAUAGAUUUAAAAUCCCACCAUAGGUUAACAUGUUCAUGCAUUAAAAUGUAUGAUAUAAAGGUUAUAUUGUAUUGUAUGCAUGUUAAUUGAUUAAUAUGGAAAUUAAUUAAUAUGAUUAAUUAAUUAUUUAAUUAAUUAAGUUAUUCUUGAUUAAAUAUGAUUUAAUCAAAUUAAUUAAUUAUUGUUUGAUUUAAUUUAAUUAAAUAUGAUUUAAUUAAAGUUAAAUAAAUUAAAAUCCAUAUUAAUUGAUUGUUUUUAUUAUAUAUUGAUAAAAUGAUUGAUUAAGUUUAAAAGUUUUUAUAAGUGUUAUAAAAUAAAUUAGACUUUUAAAAUCAAUAACAAAGAUUAAAUGCAUGCUCACUUAGGUUAAACAUAUCUUCCAUUUUUCAUAGAAAUAGGUCGAUAUCUUGUAAAACUGGUUACAAAAGGCUCACCUGGUUCAAUCUUGUCAACAAGUCAGAUAAGAUGACUAAGGUUGGAGGUUCUUAAGUUGACGGUUUACGGAACACCUCCUACCUGGAGAUCGUAAUCAGUUCUUGAGCCUAGUUAACCUAGUUUUAUGAGCAUUCGUGAGAGGUGUGAGGUAAUAAAAAUGGUUUUUCACCUAGACAUCAUAGGUUAAAAUCCUGUAUAAUGGUUAUACUUGGAUGUUUUAUCUAGACUUAAGAUUUGUUUAAGUUAGCCUAAAUAUAAAUCUUGAAGUUUGGAUUACCCUAUUUUUUUCUUUUAGAACACUUCAACUAGAGAAAAAUAAUGUAUUUUAGCUCUAGUGUCCCUAAGAGUUCACACCGUGAGGUCCAUGCAGGGCUUUGUGCCGUGCAUAGGAGCGGCCUCCCUUCGGAGAGUGUUUGCAUGGAUCAAAAUCAAGGUGAAUAGGGGAAGUAGUUCAUAGUAAGUGGGUGAGGGAUUUGUGGCAGCACAUCCCACGGUCUCUUCCAUUAGGUCGCACCGUGAGAUUUCUAUAAUAUGCCUGCUUGUCUGCCCUGGAGCGACGUUCCCUUCGGAGGGUUGUAUUAUAGGAUUCGGAACACCGCGAACUCCAAAACUGGAUAGGAUUUCUUAGAUUAGUUUUCAUAAAUGAUUCUAAUCUAUAAAAUCUGAAAAUGGUGGGUAACACUUACAAGAAUUACUAAGUUGUUAGUAUAUUCUUGACUAAAGUAGCGAUAACUAAGUGCUAUAAAGAAUAAAGAGUUAUUCUUGAGAUAGCAUCUAGUCAAGAUUGUCUUGGUUCAAAGGAGGAAUAAUCAACUACCCUUCGGAGAAGGUUGUUCUAAACCUUUGAAAUAUUGUUGCAAAAUACAAAUAAUGAAAGGGUACAUUAUUAGUAAUUGCUAAAUUAGAUUGGAUAUUUUUUAUGAUUAUAGUUUUUUCUUAAAAAGAAUAUGUUUGUUUUUCAGCAUGAAUAGCUCAAUAGUUCAACUUUUAGCUUCCGAAAAACUUAAUGGCGAUAAUUAUGCGGCUUGGAAAUCAAAUCUUAACACAAUACUAGUGGUUGACGAUUUAAGAUUUGUCUUAACUGAGGAAUGUCCUCAAAACCCUGCCUCUAAUGCUAACCGAACUAGUCGGGAUGCAUAUGAUCGAUGGAUAAAAGCUAAUGAAAAAGCCCGUGUUUACAUUCUUGCCAGCAUGUCUGAUGUAUUGGCAAAGAAACAUGAAUCCUUAGCCACGGCUAAAGAGAUUAUGGAUUCAUUAAGGGGAAUGUUUGGGCAACCAGAAUGGUCCUUAAGACACGAGGCAGUCAAAUACAUUUACACUAAGCGUAUGAAGGAAGGGACCUCUGUUAGAGAACAUGUUCUGGACAUGAUGAUGCACUUCAACAUCGCUGAAGUGAAUGGUGGUCCCAUCGAAGAGGUUAAUCAAGUUAGUUUUAUCUUAGAGUCUCUUCCGAAGAGCUUCAUUCCAUUCCAAACGAAUGCGUCUUUGAACAAGAUAGAAUUUAACUUGACAACCCUUCUGAAUGAACUCCAGCGAUUCCAAAACCUAACUAUGGGUAAAGGAAAACAAGUGGAAGCAAAUGUUGCUACCACAAAAAGAAAAUUUAUAAGAGGAUCGUCCUCUAAAACCAAAGCUGGACCCUCAAAACCUAAUGCUCAAAUAAAAAAGAAGGGAAAGGGAAAGACUCCCAAACAGAACAAGGGUAAGAAAGCUGCAGAAAAAGGUAAGUGUUACCAUUGUGGCCAAAACGGGCACUGGUUAAGAAACUGCCCAAAAUACCUUGCAGAAAAAAAGGCAGAGAAGGAAACACAAGGUAAAUAUGAUUUACUAGUUGUAGAAACAUGUUUAGUGGAAUAUGAAAAUUCUACCUGGAUACUAGAUUCAGGAGCCACUAACCAUAUUUGCUUCUCAUUUCAGGAAAAUAGUUCUUGAAAAAGCUUUCAGAAGGUGAGAUCACUCUCAAGGUUGGAACAGGAGAGAUGGUCUCAGCUUCAGCAGUGGGAGUUUUAAAGUUGUUUUUUAGAGAUAGAUAUGUCAUACUUAAGAAUGUCUUAUAUGUACCUCAAAUGAAAAGAAAUUUAAUAUCUAUCUCUUGUAUUUUGGAACAAAUGUAUAGAAUAUCUUUUGAAAUUAAUGAAGCGUUCGUUUUCUAUAAAGGUAUUCUAGUUUGUUCUGCUAUACUUGAAGACAACUUAUAUAAGUUAAGACCAACUAGAGCAAAUUUUGUCUUAAAUACUGAAAUAUUCAGAACAGCUGAAACUCAGAAUAAAAGACAAAAAGUUUCUUCUAAUGCCUAUUUAUGGCACUUAAGACUUGGUCACAUAAAUCUCAAUAGGAUUGGGAGAUUGGUUAAAAGUGGGCUUCUAAGUCCGUUAGAAGAUAACUCUUUACCUCCUUGUGAAUCUUGUCUUGAAGGAAAAAUGACCAAGAGAUCUUUUACUGGAAAAGGUCUAAGAGCCAAAGGACCCUUAGAGCUCGUACAUUCGGACCUUUGUGGACCAAUGAAUGUCAAAACUCGAGGUGGAUAUGAAUAUUUCAUUAGCUUCAUUGAUGAUUAUUCAAGGUAUGGUCAUAUUUACCUAAUACAUCAUAAGUCUAAUAGUCUUGAAAAGUUCAAAGAAUAUAAGGCUGAAGUAGAAAACGAAUUAGGUAAAACAAUAAAAAUACUUCGAUCAGAUCGAGGUGGAGAGUAUAUGGACUUACGAUUCCGAGACUAUUUAAUAGAAAAUGGAAUCCAGUCACAACUCUCUGCACCUAGUACACCUCAACAGAACGGUGUAUCAGAAAGAAGAAACUGGACCUUGUUAGACAUGGUUCGCUCUAUGAUGAGUUUUUCUCAGAUGUCAGAUUCUUUUUGGGGAUAUGCUUUAGAAACAGCUGCUUAUAUUUUGAAUAAUGUUCCCUCUAAAAGUGUUUCAGAAACACCUUAUGAGCUAUGGAAAGGGCGUAAAGGCAGUUUACGUCAUUUUAAAAUUUGGGGUUGUCCAGCACAUGUGUUGGUACAAAAUCCAAAGAAAUUGGAACAUCGUUCAAAAUUAUGCUUUUUUAUAGGUUAUCCAAAAGAAUCAAGAGGUGGUUUGUUUUAUGAUCCUCAAGAAAAUAAAAUACCACAUCAGGGAUCAUCAACCUUGUAGUAAACUAGUAUUUAAAGAAAUUUCCAAAAGUGCUAUAGAUAAAACCUAGUUCAUCCACUAAAGUAGUUGAUAAGACUAGGAAAUCUGGUCAAUCACAUCCUUCUCAACAGUUGAGAGAGCCUCGACGUAGUGGGAGGGUUGUUCAUCAGCCUGAUCGCUAUUUGGGUUUAAUUGAAACUCAAGUCGUCAUACCUGACGAUGGCAUAGAGGAUCCAUUAACCUAUAAACAGGCAAUGAAAGAUGUAGAUCGUGACCAAUGGAUCAAAGCCAUGGACCUCGAAAUGGAGUCUAUGUACUUUAAUUCUUUCUAGACUCUAGUAGAUCAACCAAAUGACGUAAAACCUAUUGGUUGUAAAUGGAUCUACAAGAGAAAACGAGACCAUGCCGGUAAAGUACAGACUUUUAAGGCUCGACUUGUGGCAAAGGGUUAUACCUAGAGAGAGGGAGUAGACUAGAGGAAACUUUCUCUCCCGUUGCCAUGUUAAAGUCAAUUAGAAUACUCUUAUCCAUCGCCACUUUUUAUGAUUAUGAAAUUUGGCAGAUGGAUGUCAAGACAGCUUUUUUGAACGGUAAUCUUGAAGAGAGCAUCUAUAUGUCUCAACCAGAGGGGUUUAUAAAACAAGAUCAAGAACAAAAGGUUUGUAAGCUUAAAAAAUCCAUUUAUGGAUUAAAACAAGCUUCUAGAUCCUGGAAUAUAAGAUUUGAUAUUGCGAUCAAAAUCUUAUGGCUUUGAACAAAAUGUUGACGAGCCUUGUGUUUACAAAAGGUCGUCAAUUCCAUUAUAGCAUUUUUUAGUCUUAUAUGUAGAUGAUAUUCUACUUAUUGGAAAUGACGUAGGAUAUCUUACUGAUAUCAAGAAAUGGCUAGCUAUGCAAUUUCAAAUGAAAGAUCUGGGAGAUGCACAAUACGUUCUCGGAAUCCAAAUUGUUCGAAACCGUAAGAACAAAACACUAGCCAUGUCUCAAGCAUCUUACAUAGACAAAAUGUUGUCUAGAUAUAAAAUGCAGAAUUCCAAAAAGGGUCUGCUGCCGUACAGAUAUGGAAUUCAUUUGUCAAAGGAACAAUGUCCUAAGACACCUCAAGAAGUUGAGGAUAUGAGAAAUAUUCCCUAUGCUUCCGCUGUUGGAAGUUUAAUGUAUUCAAUGUUAUGUACUAGACCUGACAUUUGCUACUCAGUAGGGAUGGUCAGUAGGUAUCAAUCCAAUCAUGGACGUGAUCACUGGACAGCCGUUAAAAACAUUCUACAUGCUCAUGUAUCGUACAAAGGAUAUGAUCCUUACUGGAUACACUGAUUCGGAUUUCCAAACUAAUAAAGAUGUUAGAAAGUCUACAUCAGAAUCAGUAUUUACUCUAAAUGGAGGAGCAGUAGUUUGGAGAAGCAUAAAGCAAACUUGUAUAGCUGAUUCCACAAUGGAAGCUGAUCAUUUUACAAAAGCCCUCACGGCUAAAGUGUUUGAGGGUCACCUACACAGUUUAGGUGUACGAUGUUUGUAAACUAGGACAAGUGGGAGACUUAUUGGCCAUGUUUCAUAUAUAUUCUCUCACACCACAUCUCUCAUACCACUAGGAAUUUUAGUCCAAGUGGGAGUUUGUUGGAAUUUUUUGUCCUAAAACUCGUAGUUUGUAAAUCAUAUUCUAUUCAAUAAAGUUGUUAUUGAGAAAUUAAAUAUUAUAAUCUUAAAUCCAAUAAAUCAAAGUUCCAAGGCUAUUUUUUGAAUAAACUUGAACUUUAUGUGUAAACAUAAACGUGGAUCAAGUUCGAGUAUAUAGCCUAAAUAGUCUAUAGUAUAUGAAAUAAAGGUUGGGCGCCUUAUUUUGAGAGACUAUGGAUGCGGCCCACUUUGUAGUACAAACGAUGUGAUCCUAAUCGUUCAUGUAGAGACAUGAAAGUGGGGGCAUCCUAUGUAAAAUGUUUACAUAAGACUGAACCAUGAAUUAGUCAUUUUUACGUUAUAACAUCGUUUACUGUUUAAAACUGACUAUCUCAAUUAUUGAUGACCUAGGUAACUUAGUCUUAAUCCUGAGUUAACUAUGAACUCCUGUUCAUACGAGAUUAUCCUUAGAUCUGCAUAGGUGAGGGCAGCUCAUCAGCGUUGGCCCAAUAAGCCUCCCAUUUCAGGGGUAAGAUCGGGUGGAUAGCUGGGAACAUAGGGUACAAGAUGGAAUUCACUCCUACCCGCUUUAGGGUUAGUAGAUAGGUUGCUCUCUUAAGCACUAAAUCCAAGUCUUGAACAAGGGGCCCCACCCUCUCAUUGGCCCGAGAGGGAUUAAGUUUAUAGGUUGAACCUUAAACCAAUUGUUCAAUAGUGGAUUAGUGGGACUUAAGGAGCAAGAUGUAAUCUUGGGGGUAAAACGGUAUUUUGACCCAGCCAAGGUUACGAGCAACCUGUGAAGGAUUAACUUACUGAUUAUGGUUUUAUCAAAUGGACACAAAUAUAUCUAUAGUGAGGGGAGUGCAACUACGGGACUUUAGUGGAAUGACCCGUUAGUUAACGAAUGUUGAUUAACUCGGUUUAAAAGAGUUUAGCUAGUUAAUCUUGAAUCGUUGGAGCCCAUGAUCUAUAGGUCCAUUAGGUUCCUCUGCUAGCUCAUAUGGAUUAAACUUAGAACAGUGUGAUGAAAUAAGUCGAAUUGUUCGAAUUGGGAGAAGAAAGGAAAACCGACAUAUACAGUGAUAUAAUCGUCGAUCUUCUAAUUAGAAAUAGAGCUUUAUGUUUUACAUACUAUAAGUAUGAAUGCGGAUUCAUACUAAGAAGCUCGAAAUUGGUCAAAAAUAGUAAAAAGUCAAAAUGUUGACUUUUGACUUUGAAAAGUCAAACUUUGACCGGCCUUAUAUUCAAAUGUGAUUUGAAUUUUGGAAAAAUGAAUGCGGAUUCAUGCUCGGGAGGUUGGAAUUAGUCAAGACGGACAAAAUGGUAAAAAGUCAAAAUAUUGACUUUUGACUUAGAAAAGUCAAAGUUUGACUUUUGACUAGAAAAAUCUAAUGACCAUUUUACCCUUGGACUAAGUUAGUGGGAAAAUCCAACAUUUUGUUGGAUAAUCCCACUAACUCUUAGUGGGAUAUGUGGCUAUAUGAGAUAUAGACACCUAGCCCACUAAGUUCCACUAAUUGUUAGUGGAAUAUUAGGUGUUGAGAUUUGGCAAUUGAAUUGCAUGCAUUUUUGCAUGUAAUUAGGCUAUAAAUAGAGAUGUUUUCAAAUGUUGAAGGACUUUUGCCUCUUUUAUCAUUUUCAUAAUCUCAACAAAAGAAAAAAGAAAGCUUCCAAUCUCAUUUUAUCUCCAUUACUUUCUACACCAAAAUUGGGUCCCACAACCCGGUUCUUUGUCUAGAGGAUAGCAGUUGAGUACUAGUGGUGGUCUCGGGUAGAAUUGGUAAGAAGACAUCAAACCUUUUGAAAGCUUCAAAGGUAAUACUUCUUAAAACCCUAAUUUGAUUAGUUUAUAGUUACAUGUUAAUUGUGGCAAUUAGGGUAGAAAUUCGAUUCUUUUUCCGCUGUGCAUGACUUAGUUCUAUCAGCACACACACAUCUACACACACAUGCACACACGCAUACACGCACACACACAUACGCACACACACAUCAACUCACACGGGCAAACGCGCACUCGCACAUAUGCACACACACGCACACACGUACAUAUGCACAAAGAUGUGAAAAUGAAUUAAAUUUAAAAAACAAUUACAUUAAUUGUGUUUAGAAUGACUUUUAAACUAUAUUCAUUUAACUUAAUAACAUUAAUUAAAUUAUAAUUUCUAUUAAUAUUGAUUUAAGAGUGUCAUUACUGUAAUUAUAUCAAUAUAAUGCGGUCUUAUCCAAUUUUACCAACAAAAAACAAGUCAAAUAUGGACUAGUAAAUCCACACUCUUUGUCAUAAGAGAUAUAAUAACGUUUUUAUGGGUCAUUUUAAAAAAAAUGACAAAACAACUUUUUCUUUUGAAUUUUAGCAAAUAGCAUUUUUUAUUUGAAAAAGAUACAUCAACCCAUAAUAACACUACAACAAAUCUGGGUUUGUAGUGUCAGGUGAAAAAAAUGAAAAAUUAUCUUUAUUGUCGUUUUUGAAAAGGUGGAUCAAACCGACAUUAAUGAUAAGGGUUUAAUGUCGUUUUUAAAUCGACAUUAAUGAUCAGCCAGUUUUAUUUUUUUAAUUUUUUGUAUUUUGUAAAAAAGGACAUUAAUUACCCCCCAUUUUUAAUUUCUUUUUAAAAAAUUGUUAGGUUUUAAAAACUAAAUUUUUCAUCUCUUUCUUACUCUACUCUUUCCCUAUCAAUUUUUCUUUUCUUUCUCUCCAAGUUGGUUUCUAAUUUUGUUCUCUUCUCAAUCUGUGACCCUAGAUCGCGAACGGCAACCAAUCUUCAUCGUGCUUCCGCCGCAAAAAUCCUUGGGUUUCUUCAUUUGAUUGUUAACUUGUGACUGCUAGGUAGCAUUAUUGAUUAUUAAUUGUCUUUAUUUUUUCAAAUGUGCAGCCUUAUUCAUACUACCUUUUGUUAGAAAAAUGAAAGAAGAGAAGGCAUAGAAAUGAGCUUGGUAACUAGCAUUCUUGUAGGUGGAUUUGCCAAAAUGGAAAAUGUAGAGUAAGUAAUUUUGGUAUAGCUAUUUGGAGUGUUAUGUGAAGCACAAUAUCUUCAUAAUGUGAUGCGUUUUGGUUUUCGAUUGAGAUCAAUCUUGGUAAUUAAUUGUUUUGAAUUGUGUUUUAUUUUAUCUUUUAGUAGUAAAUGUUUUUGUUUUCUUUAGUUUAGUUUGAGUAUUAGUCUGUUUUGAUAUAUUUGUAGGUUGCAUCUAUUUAUCCAUAUAUUUAUCUUUGAUCAAUACCUAGCUAGUGGAGUCUCUUCUUUUUAUGGGCUUCCUUAUAUUCCAUGUUCUUUUACUAUAUAUUUGAGAUUUUCACCUUCCAUAAAUGAAAUAAAUUAACUAUUUUCAUUUGAAAAGAAAAACGAUCCAAUAGGAGUUUGUAAGAUUAUUUAUCAUCUCCAUUGUUUAACUUUCUCUAUAAAAACAAUGUUGCUAUUGAUGGGUAAAUUUAUACAAUUAAGAGUAAGAAGCCUAUAGACUAGCAUUGCUAAAUUGAACAUUCAAAAUUUGCUUUGAAGUAAGAGUCGAGGAUGGUAUAAUUAUUCUUUAGUUGUAUUCCUCUUUUUCUUAUAGAUCUUUGAAGAACCAAAUUAGGUUAUUUUCUUCUUCUUAAUGAGUUGUUUGAUCAAAGCUUAUUUUCUUCUUUAUUUUUGCAGCACUUUUGGGUUGCCAUUUCAAUUGUCUUCUUUGUUGCUGCUACAUUAUUUACUCUACUGAAACUUUGUGGUAAUUUUUAAUUUUCCACAUUUAGAUUGCAGUCUGUUUAGUUUGAUUUUAAAUAAUAUGUACUAAUUUUGCAAAUUCUAGAUUUAAUCUUCCCCAGGUUGUAAAGUAUAUUUUGGUCUUAGAUAGCCAGCCAAGACCAAUCUGACGGUGGAGAAUUUUCUUUGGAAGACUUGGGUUUCCGAGGGGUCUGCCGCCCUUGAUUUCGGCACCGUUAAGGCUAGAAGAAGAAGAAAGUGGUGGAUCGACGAGAUGGGUAUGUCGCAACAUAGAGUUUCUUGGCUGCUUCACGUUAGAGAGGAAGAGCGAAAUUUUGGAGGUAUAGGAAGAGCGAAACGGAAUUUGAGAGAUAGGAAAUCGCAGGGUUUGAGGAAGACGAAGAAGAGAAGGGGAGAUGAGAGGCAGAGUAAACCGAUCGAGAAGAAAAAGGGGAAAGAAAUUUGAAAUAAAAGAGACCGUUGAGGUUGAAGAAGAGGGGAAAGAAAAUUGACCGUGGAGGAGAAGCUUUUUUCGUUUAUUUGAUUUUUGUAUUAAAUAUUUUCUAUGAAAAUUAAAAAAGAAAAAGUUAAAAGGCAAAUAUUUUCUACUUUUUUUUUAUUUAUUCUAUGAAAACUCAAUAAUAAAAAAGCAUCUAUAUUUGCUUUUGGUAUGGUUCACAUUUUUAUUUAUUUGACAAAAAUCUAACUAAAUUAUCAUUCAUUUUGACCUAAUAUUGCAAAUAUAAAUUUAUAUUUUGCAUCUUAACUACUCUUUGGCAUUUAUAAUAUCAUUGUUUCACACCUCAAUUUUUUUAUUGUUGUCAAAAAUAAACUUAAUCCAAAAUGAAUUAGCAAAUUAGGGAAUAAAUGUAAUCAUUGUUUUUGGGAGUUUGAGUUCGACCGUGAUUAUUGUUGAAUAAUUUUCACUUAGACAUGGACAUUUUGCUAUUUUAGCAAUUUAAAUUUAAAAUUUUCUUUUAUCAAAAGUAAACCUCUUGUUUUAAUGUUUUUCUGGUCAUCCCUUUUAAAUACAACUAAUGACAAAUGAAUAUAACAAUUAAGAAAUUCGUAGAUAUAUAACAACAUUUUAAACUAAUUGCUGCAGUUAUUUUAAAUCACAUAUGUCAUUCGCUUAUAAGCCAUAAGAGUCUAUUAACGAUAUAAAUCUAUCACAAAUAUAUUUUGCUACAUUUACAAUUUUUAAAAGAUAUUGUUAUAUACUUAAUUAUUAUUCAUAAAAUUACUAAUCCAUUAUACUUACCCUAAGUUAAAUGAAUAAUGUCAAAAGUAAGUUUACUACGAAGGUAAUUUGUGUGACCCUUUUAUCCUAACGUAGGAAGUUUGUUCCACUCCAUACCAUUAUUGAACUAAGAAGAUUAAGUGUGUAUUAGUAUGUUUAAACAAGUAUAAUUAUAGCAAAUUCUAUGAGUGAUAUAUUUAUAUUAGCAAUACAAUAUGUGUUACAUAUGCAAAUAUUUUGUAUCUAAUCGUUGUAUUUGCAAUUAACUCCAUUCAAAUAUACAAAUAUAAACAUAACUCUUUAACCUGAGUUUAGCUAGGAUCACAAACUACAAAAAGAAAGUAUGGAAUAUAUUUAAUUUGUUUUUUUUUCUUUGAAGAAAAUUUGGUGUGUAGCACAUUAUAUAUUUUUCUUUCCAUUAAAAAACAGUAUUGAUCUUAUAAUAUACGGCCUUGCACAAUGUAUUCACCAUAAAGAUCAUAUAAUUGUAGAGAUGUAUAGAAGGUCUGAUAAACAACAUAAACGAAAAGUUCUAAUCCUUGAAAUUGUAAACAUUACCCAUAUCCUACAAUAAAAGUCACAUCAACUUGAUAUUUGUUGAAAUUUAACAAAAAUGAAAAGAAAGCAACGACAAACCAAUGACGAUGGAAGAAGAUACAGUUUUCAAACACAACCAGCUAUCCAAAUUAUUCAUAAUAUGGUAUUAGAAAAUAUAUUGCAAUUUGUAACCUCAUAAGUUUAUAAACAGAGUAAAAAUUAAAGGAAAUUUUUUUAUCAAGCUUAUAUUAGGACUUUAUACUACUUAUAUGUAAUUCUUAAGUUUUCUUCUUUUAGCUAUAAAAGACACAAAUUAAGAAAAAAAAUGACUUGAUUGUCCAUGUAAAGUUAUGCCCCAACUUUUUUCUUCUAACUUAAGAAAAGGAACACCAACAAAUAUCUAUCCCCAUAAACUAAAAAGCAUAGGAAAAUGAUAGUAAAAGUAAAAUCAUCUUUUUCUGUUAUCUUUUUCCUUCAUUCAUUUACUUCUAAUUGAAAAUAAAUCAAAAGUCUAAAACCGAUCAAAUUAUUGAAAACAAAAAAACAAGAAACAUAACAGUGUGGAGAGGUAGUUAUUAUCAAGUAUUUGAUUUUGUUUAAUAGAUUCCAGUUGUGACAACCACAACAAUUGUAUGCAUGAAGUUCAUCAUUCAAACAGAUUCUGACAACAAAUUUCAACACAUCUGCAAGGCGAAAGAAGAUAGGAAUUAGGAUAACAAGGUAAUUAGAACACUGAAAUAAAUUUUAAAAAUAAUUUUAUUGCCGAUUGCUACUAUAAGCAUAAUUAUCUGCUUGUAUAGUUGUCUUGCAUGAUCUGACAAAUACAUUAUGGUAUUUGAUAUUCCAUUCAGGUUGUAUCUUGCAUGUUACCAACAAAAUCAUGUGCUUAGUGAUAAAUUACUCUUAGACUGAGAAAUACUCGAAAAAAAAUCAAGAGUAACAACUCUUAGUUUCCCAGAAAAAUUGAAACAAAAUCAUGACAAACCAACAACAAGAACUUCAUAAACUUGUCUGAUGAAAGCAACUCAAGAACAGUCUCAAUGCAGAUCAUACAUGAGUUCUUUGCUAAAAUAUUUCCAAAGGCUAAAAAGAGUUAAGGAAAAAAAGAAAAACAAUAAUUACCUGUAAUUUUCGUUGGUUCAUGAUCUUCUCUUGUCAUUCCCUCACUUUAAUCUCAUAACUGAAAAGGAAAAGAGGAGGGAGGGGUGAUUAAACUCAUGCAUGUACAUAAUGUCGAAACCAGCAAAAUUACCACCCUAUUAACUAUGAAAGUCUGGUUGUGGUCGAAGUAGGGUGAAAGUCAGUGUAGAUUAGGAUAGAUGUCACCGUGAAGCUCACUGUCGGUUGGGGGAGAACAUAAAAAUUGACUUUUUUCUUUUAUAACAGGCUGGGGUGAACUGGCUGGCAAGGAGGAAGUGACAUGCUACCACUAGGUUGUGUUAGGUGUGAACAAUGGACAAUGGUGGCUAGAAGUGAGGGAAGGGCUUUGUCAAAGGGUCGUGCAGGGCUGAACUCCAACUGUCCAAUAUUAGUUUGUUCGGUUACUUUCUUUGUUUCACCCAUAUCAAUGUCUGCAAAAAUUCCCACAAUAUAUAGAAAUGGAAAUAAAGAUCCUUAAGUUCUUUGAGAAAAAUCAUAAAUAUAGCCACAAAAUUUCUCCAAUUAUUUGUUACUUAAAAAAGUAUAGAAAUUGUCAACCAAGCUCAACUAACGCCUGUAUGUAUGUACUUAGAACCAAGAGGUCUCGGGUUUAAAUCCCUCUACCCAAAAUUUGUCCUAAAUCUCAACUUUUUUACAAUCAAUCCUAAAACUCUUUUUCUACCCCAUUUGGCCUAAAUCUCAAAAUUUGUCCUAAAUCUCAAUUUUUUAUACUAUUAUAGUUGUAGAAUAAAAAAUUUUAGAUCAAUCACGCAUUAUCGUUGAAUUCAAGACUAAUUAAAAAUUGACAUGUGUCCCAAAUUAAAAUUGAAAAAAAAUAUAAAUUUGUUAAUUUGGAUGAUACACAUGUUUGGAUCAAAUUAAUUAUUUUAGUUUAAUUAAUAUUAUUUACUCGGUUAAGACUAAAAUUCAAUCGAGCCAAAAAAAUAAAUUUAAUUUAGCUCUGGUCCAUAAAUCAACCAGACUCAAGUUCAUAAAAGCCACUAAAGAACUCUAUAGAUACUGGAGUUCCCUUCAUUUGAAGAUACAAACUUUCUUUCAAGACUCCAACUUCAAGAACGUCACGUGCUCUGCUUCCUCAAAUCAAGCAUAAGCAUCUAAGUGAGAGAGAAUCAGGAGAUCAAAUGACUCAUUGCAUCAAAUCAACAUAAAUACAUUAUUAAUACAAGUUGGAGUUCACAAAUUAAAUUUCUCUAUAAAGAUCUCGUGUAAACCACAGUGAACCAAGAAGUGAUUAUAAACUGAAUAUUUCAUUAAUAAAUUCAAUCAAAUAAAAUGAAAUACAGGAAAAUUACAACUCUAUUGAACUUGAGAUGAAUCCUCAAAAUUCUAAGUCUUUUCCUUGGACGAAUUCUCUAAUCGUCCGUCAACACACACUUUUGUGGGAUGAGAAAUUUUAGAGCUACUAUGCCUCCCUCAUAGGAACUUUUGUACUUAAGAUUAGCUACUGACUUGGAAUGUUGCGGAAGACCUAUGGAGUUGUUGUAAAAUGGCAGAAAUUGUGAGAAGAUGGUGAUGAAUUUGACUAUAGUUAGUUGUUCCCCGAAAUGGAAGACUUGCUAUAUAAUGUAUUAAUUGACUGUCUCGUUGUUGCUGUCCAUUGUUAUUUUGAUAAAAGGUUUGCAGAUGUAAAUAAUUUGUAAAUUUAUAGAUCUAAGAAUGUUAUCAUACACUUCAUAUUAGAUAAUAAAAAUCACUUGACAAUUUCUCAAACACCACACCGUCUACCGCCUCAAAGUUGAGUUAUUGAUCAUGGUCAAGACAAAGAAAAUAAGGAUUGAGACCACACUUGCGAAGAAGAAAAAUGUUGAGAGGAGAAAAAGAUCAUGCAUGCAAAUGGAAAAAAAAAAAAGAGAAAGUAGGAACUUUGUUUAGGUUCAUCAAGAAGAUAAAUGGAUAUAAAGAAAUAACCAAAAUCAUAACUUGAAUUCUUUCUCAUAUUUGCAAUAGUAGAAAUCUGGAAGACACAUUUGCAAAAUAUCUCAACUUAUUUUGCUACCUAUUACAAUAUUCCUAAACUUAUUGUAAAUGUACACAAUUUUGUAUCUGUGAUCAGUUUCAAGAAUCUCUCCCUAGAGAGAAUAAGUUGCAUCUUCUAAAAGUACUUGCUAUGGCUCAACAUCAACAUACUUUAGGAAACUUUUCAAUAGUUAUUUACAUAAAAGAAAACUAGAAGGUAAAAUAGUAAUGAAUUUCUCCAACUGAAUUUUGUUCGAGUUACAAUAGUUGUAUGUUUAUGCGCAUCUAUAUAUAUAAUGCAAUAAUGUAAGACAACAUGAGCAUAAUGUAAUAUGGAGAGCUGGAGGAUCAAAUAAAAAUAUAAGAAAAUCAGAUUAUUAUCUUUAUGAAAAAAUAAUUAGUACAACAAAAAACAAAAUUAGACUUUACUAAUUGCAGAUCAAAAAUUGCAUCCGCGACGCUGGCAAAUCAGAGUUGCAUGGGAGUUGAAUCCUUAACAAUCUCAUAUAAUGAUAUAAUGUUUUCAAUGCUCAAUAGGCCAAUGAUGCACCAUUCCAAGAGAUCUGAUUUCCUAUUCUGGAGGACUUCUUGAAGAAAAUGAAUGUUAUGCUGCAAGGAAGGUGCAAAUUUAUUAGAGAAGAAUUAAACACUGUUCUAUCUCAAGAAAUAUCAUUUCCAUAAAAGUAAAAGAACCUCCUUCCAGUGAGUAUGAUAUAAGUGGAAGAAUCUAGGUUAAAGAUUUAAAUAAGGAAAUCACAAUGAGAAUGUUGAUUAUUUUUUCCUUAGCUCGGCUUUUGGAAAAGGAACACACACCACUCCCUGAUUUCAUUUGCAUUAUUUUGGGUCAGCUUCAGAAUACACAAACUUCAGAUGGACAGCACAAACACUUGGAAACAAUUUAGCAGAACCAAUUUCUUAAAGAAACAUUCUAAACUAAUUAAAUAAAGAGAGUCCUCAAAACUUCACUCCUUGAAGAACUAUGAAUUGAUUCUCCUACAAUAGUAGCUAGCUUUUGAUAGGACCACGUCCCUUCACCACGGAUUAGAAUAUUGAUGUCAAUAUUUUAAUUUUUUUUAUUCUUCUUCUUUAAAAAAAAUAAACAUUUAAUUCUUGAACAUUGGGAUCUAAAUGUCCAGGGAUAAUAAUGCUCAUACCCACGAAAUAAUAUCCACCAUCCAAACUGUUAAAUAAAAAAAUUCUUUUCCUAAAAUUCUACCGAAGCAGUAGGAAAAGUUGUUAUGUAACUUUUUCUAAAUAAGUGAAGAAAGAGUGGACAAGAAUAUGAUAAAACCAAUAAAAUUAAUCAGAAGCUGCUAGUAUCCAUUUGAUUUAAUACGUUCCAAUCCUUGAAUUUAAAGCCUUGUACAUGUGUGAAUAUUAUGCAUUAACGAUUUAACGAUUUUAAAAUGAAAUAAGAAUGAAGGAUUUAAAUUCAUUCACUUGUGAAAGUUGAGAGAUUUAGUUAAUACAACAUUUAGUAUAAAUUGGUUUUCUUUCCCUUAAAAAGAAUACUAAAGAAAAUACGAAAGUUUUCACGAGGUUACACGUCCUCUCAACACAUUUUCCAUUGCAUAUAACCAAAAAUAGAUAAUAUUGCUUUCAAGUUGGCUAUUGCCACGAUAUUUAAGAAGAACGUUCAAGAGAAGAGGCUCAACUAUACGGAAAAAACCACUUUGAAGGAAUGAAUGGAAUAGAAUGAAAUUACCUCCACAAACUUCAAUUUGAAAUCUAGAUUCCCAAAGCGCUGGGUGACCUCGUACUCUUCCCGAAGGUACUCAUAUAUUUGAGCAUAUUUUGCAUCCCUCCACGCAAUUUCUGAUCUGAGUGGCAAAGGAAAAAGACAUAAAAGAGCACUAAGAUAACAAAAUUCUACCAAUUAAAGCAAUAUUAUGAUCGAAUUUUCUAUGCACGAAUAUUAAUAAUAAUAAGAAGGUAAGAAUGUAUAUAUUUUUGUUUACUUAUAUCAAGCUUGAAAGGCAAACUUUUCUAUGUUAUGAUCUUGGUUCUGUUAGGAUGUCAAAUACAUUUCUGAACAAUAGUAUUAUCCUGGCGCCAAGUACUGCGAAAACCACAUAAGACGUAAUCCAAGCUUUAAAGAGGCUCUAGAUAAAAUAAAAAGAAAAAUGUAUUUGAUAGGCCACUGAUUAUACAUCAGUAUGCUCGCAGGGGCAAAAAGGGCAAAGAAGUAGUUAUUAUUGAGUUGGGAGAAUCAUCCAACAGUAAGAAUGAUUAUCUUGGGUAGUUUUGGGCAUUUAUCUUGACUAGUUUCAGUCUUCAGGUGGUUAGUAGUUGGUUAUGAUCAAGGAAGUUAUGUUACCGUUGCUAUGUUAUGUGUUUAAAUAAGAAGUUAAGUUAGCAGAUGGGUAGACAGUCUUUUAGUUUGAAGUGUUUGGGUUUCUCUCGUGUGGGAAGAAUGGUCUAUGUAAUAGUAAAUUAUCUAUAAUAGAAGAACUUUACUUUAGUAACUAUCAUACUGGUAUAAGAGCCCUCAACCUGGGGAUGAUAGGAAAGGUGGCACAGAAGAAAAUUGAAGAACGGUUAGGCGUAACUGAUUUUGAAAUUGCCAGGAUUUAAGUAGAUGUUCAGAAGUUACCACAAAUUGAAGAAACGCUGCUUGCACUUGCUUAAGAUUGUUCAACGCUUUAUCCUUAUAGCACAGUUGGAACAACAACGAAGGAAUGCAGAUGACACUCAAACAUUAUUGGCUUCUCUAGUUUCAGGUGUUGGAUUGUCAGAUCGCCCUUCCAAUUCGGAAUCGAAUGAGGAAAUUAAGAAUACGACAGUGGCAAACACAGUGGAACCUAUUUAUGGCUAUAGGAGCAAUGCAUUCAGACAAUAAUGAGGGUGAACAGGAUCAUAGCAAAUUAAACAAGUUUGAGAUGUCAGUAUUCAAUGAAUCCGAUCGUUACUUACAAAUCCAUAAACUUACUGAUUCCAAAAAAUUAACAGUGACAGUCAUUAGCUUCAAAGCAGCGGAGCAUUAGCUUCGAAGCAGCGGCUCUCAAUUGGUACCAAGCCACAGACAAACGAGAACCAAUUUUGAAUUGGAAUGAUAUGAAACGAAGAUUGUUGAUCCGAUUUGGCUCAUCAUGCCAAGGUUCAGUUUGUGGGCAAUUUCUCAUAAUCAAGCAAGAAACAGUGGUGGAGGAAUAUUGCAGUCCGUUUUGAUAGGUUAGUGGCUCCUUUACUCCAACUACCUACCAAAAAAAUUAAAAAAAGAACGUGUCCUCUGCAUGUCGUGUCCUAUGCAUGUUGUAUCCUAUAUGUUAAAAAACUGGUGUGUCGUAUCUCGUGUCGGUGUUCGUGCUUCUUAGGUUUUGAAUUUAAAAACUCUUCUAAAUAAUUUUAAAAAAGGAUUUCCUAUUGUUCGGUUUUUCUCUGACUUACCAAUUAAAUUAUUUGGUUGCACUACUUAUGUUCAUAAUCCCAACUCUACUCGUACUUCACUUGAUCUAGCUGUUAAAUGCAUUUUUGUAGGCUGUCUCCUAUAGGAAGGCUUACAAAUGUUUUGACACUUCGACUAAAAGGUAUUUUGAGAGUAUGGAUAUGUCUGUUUUUGGAAAAUCAACCUUUUUUUAGCCAAAAUUCUCUUUAGAGGGAGUCCCCUAACCUUAAGAUAAUUUUUGGGACACUUAACCUAUCCCAAACACCAUUGAUUCCAAAGUUAUGAGCUAACUCUUGACGUCAAGUGUGGAGAGUUCUUCAGGGGGAGAACCACUAUAGACUGACUUGACAAGUAAAAACCUGAACUACAGCUUUAUAAUAAAAGAAACUUGACUCGAAGGAAUUGAGAAUGAUCUAUCACAAAACCAAACUAAUACCCCGAUAAAUGAUUAUGAAGAUCCAGGUAACAUACAUUCUCCUUUUACUUCGUCUAAUUCUCCCCGUUCUUCUCAUAAUUCCUUGUCUAAUGUCUCUGAUCUUGAUAUUACAAUUGCCAACAGGAAAGGUACCAGUAAAUUUGUCAAAUAUCCCAUUGCAAACUAUCUUUCUUAUCGUAAACUUUCACAAUCAUAAAGCCUUUACAUCCAAAAUAAUCAACCUGUUUGUUCCAAGGAAUAUACAAGAGGUCCUAAAUGAUUUGAAUUGGAAAUUAGCAGUGAUGGAAGAGAUGAAUUCUACAUGGGAUAUACUUGAACUACGAAAAGAAAAGAAAACAGUUGGAUGCAAGUGGAUGUUUACGCUAAAAUGUAAAGCUGAUGGUAGUGUCGAGAGGUACAAGGUUGGAUUGGUUGCUGAGGGGUUUACUCAAACCUAUGGAGUUGAUUAUCAAGAAACAUUUGCUACAGUUGUCAAAAUCAAUUCUAUUAGAAAUUUGUUGUCUGUUGUAGCUAACUUUGAUUGGCCUCUUUAUCAAUUGGAUGUUAAGAAUGUCUUUCUCAAUGGGGAACUGAAAGAAGAGGUAAUUAUGGACUUGCCACCUAGUUUUAAGGUAGAUCUCGGGAUUAACAAAGUUUGCAAGUUAAAGAGAUCAUUAUACGGUCUCAAACAGUCUCCUAGAGCUUGAUUUGAACGCUUGUAUAUUCCUUGGAACAAACAGUCUCCUAGAGCUUGAUUUGAUUCGAGAAAGUAGUCACGGGCUAUGGAUUCAGUCAAAGCCAAGUCGAUCAUAUGAUAUUCUACAAACAUACAGGAAAUGACAAGGUUAUGAUUUUGAUAGUUUAAUUUGAUGAUAUCGUUCUUACAAGCAAUGAUGAGACAAAACAAACUUUUGUGAAGAAAAAGUUGGCAGAUGAUUUCCAGAUCAAGGACCUAGGAACUUUAAAGUACUUCCUAGGCAUGAAGUUUGCCAGGUCCAAAAGUGGCAUUCUUUUCAAACAAAGGAAGAAUAUUAUUGAUAUGUUAAAAGAGACAGGUUUACUUGGUUGCAAGGUAGCAGAAACUCCCAUUGAGCAGAAUUUGAAAUUGAAAGUUGCAACCAAGAAUGAGAUAAAGGAAAGAGAAAAGUACUAGAGACUUGUAGGAAGACUCAUAUAUCUUUCCCACACGUCCUAACAUUGCUUUUGAAAUUAGUAUCAAAAGUCAGUUCAUGCAUGCUCUUGAACCAACUCACUUUUAUGCCGUUUAUAGAAUAGAAUCCUAAGUAUUUGAAAGGUACUUGAGGAAAAGACACAUUGUUUCAAAGACAUGAUCAUCUAAUGUUAACGUUUACACUAAUACUAAUUGGGCAGGUUGCAUGACUGAGAUCUGGUUACUGCCCCUUCCUUGAAGGAAAUCUUGCUACUUGGCAAAGUAAAAAACAGAGUGCUGUUGCAAGAAGUAGUGCAGAAGCAGAAUUUAGAGCUUUAACCCAACGCAUUUGUGAGUGUAAAUGAAUAAGAUUGUUGGAAGAAUUGGGAUUCACUCAAACAAUGCUCAUGCAGUAUCACGGCAGCAAUUUCCAUUGCCCACAAUUCAGUCCUUUAUAACAAGACGUAACAUACUGAAGUCAAUAAACACUUUAUAAAGCAAAAGACCAAUGUGGGAGUAAUAUGCAUACCCUACCUUCCGACAACAGAACAAAUUGCAGAUGUGUUAACUAAAGGCCUUCCAAAGUGGCAAUUCAACAAACUGAUUGACAAGCUAGCAAUGACUGAUAUCUUCAAACCAGCUUGAGGGGAAAUGUUGAUUAUUUCCUUUAUUGUAUUAUAUUUUAUUGUGUUGGUUGUAUAAUAUUUGCCAAAUUUAUUUUUUCCUUUUUUGUAAUGAGUUGUUUUAUUUAAGUAAAAUCUUGCUAUUUGUGAAAUAAACAAGAAAUAUAUUAUUUUAGCAUAAAUCAAUGAAGUCUUAAUUCCAAGCGAUGUUUACUGGAUUUUGUUUGCCUCUUUAUUUGUUUUGAGGAUCUUUUUUCUUCUACUUUGUUUGCUUAUUGGUUUGUAUUUUGAGUAUAUCUCUUUUCAUUUCCCUACGUGAUGGGAAACUUGUUUUCAUUUCCUUAUGUGAUGGGAAACUUCCGCAAGGAAGUCUCUUACUGUGAGGAACCAGACUAUUCCUAUAUUUGCACAAUUCCGAGUAAACGAUGUAUAAGAAUGCUUAACGACAGAUGGUCUUCCUUUUUAAGAAUGUCCUGCGUUGUGGGUGGUCUCUUAUUCCGCCGCUUUCUAGAGCUAUGCCGCUGCCAUUACCCCUUGGAUUGGCCAUGAGACAAACAUUUUAGUUUCUUCAUUGCAAGUCUCUUUGCAUUUCCUUAAUGAACAGUUUUUUAUAUAUAUUGUAUCCUUUUCAAAACAAUAAUAAAUAAAAUAAAAAGACAGCUAUCUGUUUAGACCAAUAUACUAUAAGUCCAAUACCAACUAUCGGGGUUUUACCUCUCAAAAAGACCAACUUUGAGAAUUACAUCUGCUAAAUUUGAAUUGGCCUUUCCAACAAGUUGAAGGAGCUUUUUCUUAUCCAUAGUGAAUGUUCCUGUUUUCUCCAUUUUACGAUUUAUAUCUGCAAACUCUUCAACCAAACUAUCAACCUGAAAAAGAAAAGAGAGAAAAGAAAAGGCAUGUUUUGAGAACACAAAUACAAGCACUAAUUGGUGCUGAAGAUUAAAAUGCCAAACUCGGAGAAUUAGUAACUUAGAUAUUUAAUGAGCAAGCAGAUCUCAUAACCUCCGUCAUUCCAGCUAAGUGACAAAAAAUGUCAAUUAUGACACGAUGAUGGAAAAGUUGCAGGAAAUUAUGAUGUCACCAAUCAUGCUUUAGGAAUAGGUCUAGAAAUAAUAUGAGUGGCCUACUAGGUUGUCCCAGGAGUAAAUAAAAGAAUGUGAUAGACUGCCAAUGAUUGUUCACAUAACCAGGCAUUGUAAUCCCAUUUUUUUAUUUUGCUUCCAUACCAAAUUGUAAAACCAAAUUGUAUUUAUAUGUUGUCUUGAUCUUUUGGGAUCAUUCUUUGGAUUGGAGUCCUUUAUUGUAGGAAGGGUUGAACUCUCUUUUCUAUCCUCUUGAGUGCCCUUCUAUGUUCUUCAUUUCUCUCCAAGAAAUUGUGGUUUUGAAUAAAGAUUAAAGAAACAAAAAAUUGAUAAAAAUCAGUUUGACAAAAUGUAAUUUUUAAAAAGAACAUAAAUAACUACAGACAUUUCAAGAGCUCCCCAUCUCUCCUAAUCCUAACCAAAGAUAAUUCUUAGAGAGAACCUAUUGGCACCUACUAACCAAUAUAUACCCAUCUACUAGGAACGGGUCUGGUUUCAUUAAAAGAUUAUAGCAAUGAUUCUACAGUUUUGUAUCCUAUUUGACACCUUUAAGGAUUAUUUUGUGUGUUGUAUUUUGUUUUUCAUAGACACCUGUCUAAUGAAGAGCUGUUACCUAUAAUUGGAAAAAUUCACCCAUCAGAGCAUUACUAUGCAAAACAACAGGCAGAAUAUAUCAUACAGCAGGUACUCAUCCAUAACGAAUCUUAAAAACCCAUAUGCAAGUCGAUGAAUUUUUUAGCUUUACUUUUACGAUUGAGAUAUUGCUUGGAUAUUGUGGCACAUAUUAAUGUCAUCAACAAACAUCUCAUGAUUCUUAUGUAUGGUUGUAGAAACAAUUUACUCUUUCUUUUCCUCUAUCAGUGAGAGCUUGCUGGGUUGUCCAUGGAUUGUUUUAUACUCUGUACAGUUAUUUUAAUUUUUACUUGACCGACCACCCAUCACAUAUAAGUAAUAUUGUGUAAAAUUCAUUUUACGAGUAGUAAAAUCGGU